CUCCACCAGGAUCUGGUUGAAGAGGAGUUCCUCAGUGAUAGUCCUCUCUUGGAUUGCUUUGUUUUUUUUCUGGGAUGGCUGUACUGGAGACUUUGGAGUCAGGUGGAAGAUUUGGAAUAACGGUUAGAAACCCCAGGAAGAACUUAGAGUCUCCUCCUGGCUCACCUGCAUCCUCAAAUAAGCCUUCUGUCCAGUCCUAAUCUCCAGCCCAUCGACCUCCGCUGGAGGAAUGGGGGCCAGUGCUGGAAGGCCUGCAUGCUGGUCACCCAGUUUGCAGUCCACAUAGAGAUGUAGGGCAGGGCUGGGUCUGGAGGGGCCGCGGAGUCGCAGGAGAACUGUGUGUGUGCGUCCAUCGGCCAGGCCUGCUUGCUGGAGGUUCACGGCGUGGACUUUGCCAUCCUCCCGCUGGUACCGUACCAGUACUGCCCAGGAGGGGAGAUCAGUAUGGGCACUGUACCCCCAUCCCCUGCCUCCCAGUUGAGCCUUGGAUCAACUCUGCUGGAGACAUCUCUAGGGCCCCCAUCCCUAAUUCUACUAUGUAGCUCCCAACACCUUGUAUGCAAUAGGUACACAAUAAAUGUUUUUCAAAUUGGUGUAGAGGUGGGCCGUGAUGGCUCACGCCUGUAAUCCCAGCACUUUGGGAGGCUAAGGUGGGGAGAUCACCUGAGGUCAGGGGUUUAAGAACAGCCUGGUCAACAUUCGAAACACUGUUUCUUUAUUUUUUCUUUUUUUUUUAAUAGUUUCUUUCUUACCAAAAACCAGACGAAAUGCUUUUUCUACUAAAAUUACAAAAAUUAGCCAGGCUUGGUGGUGGGCAGCUGUAGUCCCAGCUACUUGGGAGGCUGAGACAGGAGAGUUGCUUGAACCAGGGAGGCGGAGGUUGCAGGGAGCUGAUCUUGUGCCACUGCACUCCACCCUAGGUGACAGAGUGAGAUGCCCUUUAAAAAAAAAAACUGGUUCCCAUAUAGUCUAGCAGUUAGGAUUCCUGGUUUUCACCCAAGUGGCCCAGGUUCGACUCCUGGUAUGGGAACCAAAAUAAAAAUAAAAAUAAAAAAUUGGUUUGGAGAAUAAGACUGAAGUAGUCUUCAGUGGUAUCAGAUGACUCUAUCCUCUCCUAGGGUGACAGCUGGUUUGUGCCCACUGAACUGUGCCAGGGAUCUGAAGGACCUUUCUGUAACACUGCUGAGGCAGAGACAUGCCUCACCCUCCCUCCAGGCAUCCCAAGUACAACCCAUCCCUAUAAAUACCAGGCCUCAAGCUUCA